rnacentral:rRNA from 1 species
AUUGAACGCUGGCGGCAGGCCUAACACAUGCAAGUCGAGCGAGCGGCGGACGGGUGAGUAAUGUAUGGGGACUGCCCGAUAGAGGGGGAUAAAUACUGGAAACGGUAGCUCAUACCGCAUACUCUCGGAUAACACAUAUGGGAUUAGCUAAUAGGUGAGGUAAUGAAGCACCUAGGCGACGAUCCCUAGCUGGUCGGAGAGGAUGAUCAGCCACACUGGGACGGAGACACGGCCCAGACUCCUACGGAGGCAGCAGUGGUGAAUAUUGCACAAUUGGCGCAAGCCUGAUGCAUCCAUGCCGCGUGUAUGAAGAAGGCCCUAGGGUUGUAUAGUACUUUCAGUCGGGAGGCGUUACCGACAGAAGAAGCACCGGCUAACUCCGUGCCAGCCGCCGCGGUAAUAC